rnacentral:lncRNA from 4 species
CGAAGUGUCGCUCCUCGCACCCCACGCCUCAACGCGUAUAGUUGUUGGAGGCUCACUACUCCCUCGACCUCCACAGCACGCCGCACACUAGUCCUUGAGCUAUAUGCGACCCUAGCCGCUCUGUCGUCACUCACGGCUGCAGAACCGUACAGCAAGUUCGACUAUCGAAUCCAAGGAACUGACAUGGACCCAGAUGGCUACGCUGAAGCCGCGGGAAAUCUUGAGGCGCAAGGCAAGACAUAA